rnacentral:rRNA from 1 species
AUUGAACGCUGGCGGCAGGCCUAACACAUGCAAGUCGAACGGUAGCACAGAGAGCUUGCUCUCGGGUGACGAGUGGCGGACGGGUGAGUAACGUCUGGGAAACUGCCCGAUGGAGGGGGAUAACUACUGGAAACGGUAGCUAAUACCGCAUAACGUCGCAAGACCAAAGUGGGGGACCUUCGGGCCUCACACCAUCGGAUGUGCCCAGAUGGGAUUAGCUAGUAGGUGGGGUAAUGGCUCACCUAGGCGACGAUCCAUAGCUGGUCUGAGAGGAUGACCCGCCACACUGGAACUGAGACACGGUCCAGACUCCUACGGGAGGCAGCAGUGGGGAAUAUUGCACAAUGGGCGCAAGCCUGAUGCAGCCAUGCCGGGUGUAUGAAGAAGGCCUUCGGGUUGUAAAGUACUUUCAGCGGGGAGGAAGGCGGUGAAGUUAAUAGCUUCACCGAUUGACGUUACCCGCAGAAGAAGCACCGACUAACUCCGUGCCAGCAGCCGCCGUAA